AGGUCAUUCACAAGUGGCUCCAGUCUGGUUUGGGGGUCUACCCUUUCUUAUCAUGUCCUGCCACCCAAUAAAGCCAUUCACAAGUGGCUCCAGCCUGGUUUGGGGGUCUAGCCUUUCUCAUCCUGUCCUGCCACCCAAUAAAGCCAUUCACAAGUGGCUCCAGCCUGGUUUGGGGGUCUAGCCUUUCUCAUCCUGUCCUGCCACCCAAUAAAAAGAGAAAUUACUAAAGGCCUCUG